rnacentral:rRNA from 1 species
AUUGAACGCUGGCGGCAGGCCUAACACAUGCAAGUCGAGCGAGCGGCGGACGGGUGAGUAAUGUCUGGGAAACUGCCCGAUGGAGGGGGAUAACUACUGGAAACGGUAGCUAAUACCGCAUACCAUCAGAUGUGCCCAGAUGGGAUUAGCUAGUGGGUUGGGUAACGGCUCACCUAGGCUACGAUCCCUCGCUGGUCUGAGAGGGUGACCAGCCACACUGGAACUGAGACACGGUCCAGACGCCUACGGGAGGCAGAAUUGGGGAAUAUUGCACAAUGGGCGCAAGCCUGAUGCACCCAUGCCGCGUGUGUGAAGAAGGCUUUCGGGUUGUAAAGCCCUUUCAGCGGGGAGGCGUUACCCGCAGAAGAAGCACCGGCUAACUCCGUGCCAGCAGCCGCGGUAAUUC